AACGCUAGCUACAGGCUUAACACAUGCAAGUCGAGGGGCAGCGGAGAGGAAAGCUUGCUUUUCUCUGCCGGCGACCGGCGCACGGGUGAGUAACACGUAUGCAACCUACCCCUGGCAGGGGGAUAACCCGGAGAAAUCCGGACUAAUACCGCGUAACACCGCGGGGAGACAUCUCCCGGCGGUCAAAGGAAGCGAUUCCGGCCAGGGAUGGGCAUGCGGCGCAUUAGGCAGUUGGCGGGGUAACGGCCCACCAAACCGACGAUGCGUAGGGGUUCUGAGAGGAAGGUCCCCCACACUGGUACUGAGACACGGACCAGACUCCUACGGGAGGCAGCAGUGAGGAAUAUUGGUCAAUGAGGGAAACCUUGAACCAGCCAAGUCGCGUGAAGGAUGACUGUCCAAAGGAUUGUAAACUUCUUUUAUACAGGAAUAACCGUAGUCACGUGUGACUACUUGAAUGUACUGUAUGAAUAAGGGUCGGCUAACUUCGUGCCAGCAGCCGCGGUAAUACGAAGGACCCGAGCGUUAUCCGGAUUUAUUGGGUUUAAAGGGUGCGCAGGCGGGAGAUUAAGCGUGUUGUGAAAUGUAGUGGCUCAACCUCUGCACUGCAGCGCGAACUGGUCUUCUUGAGUACGCAC
rnacentral:rRNA from 1 species